GCAUCAGCUUAAUGGACUUACCAUCCGAAGUCCAUUUUGGAAUGGUUCAGUAAUUAUAUGCCGAGCUACCCAUCCAUGUUUACUAAAUUGGAAUUUAAUUAGGUAUUACCCGCGCCUUCUAAUUCCGAGAACUUUUUUGGACAGUGGAUGGAUGGCGUUGAUGGCACUUUUUGAUUCCAAGAGAGUGGCUAAUGGACCCGAGGAUCCCAAUUCCAAUGUGUCCUCUGAAACUACACCAUGGUGCUUCCAUCGGACAGUUGCCUGGCGGAGAUCGGACCAAUGAACUUCUUAUACCAACAGGAUAUGCCAAGGCAUGCAUGGCAUUUACAGCUCUACCUAUAAGGCAGUUUAUACGCCCUUAAUGAAUGAGGAUCAGCGAAUAUCUAGAGCUCGCUGAUUCAUAUAAAAAUUACCAGAACG
rnacentral:sRNA from 1 species